CCUUUUAAUUUAUGUGUUUGGGUUUCCUUUUAAUUUAUGAAAUUUUUAUUAUUAGGUCUUUCAAUUUAUGUCUGGAAGGAAAAUGGAUUAUAGAAAUAUGGUGGGUUUUGAUUUCAGGUUCUUUUUGUUUGACUAAAAAUAUUUUUGAAAGGAUUCUUGUCAAUAUUCUCUGUUGGAAAAAGUUUACUUUAUAUCCGAAUGGGUUAUCUUUUUAGUGGAGGAGAACAAGCAUUCAUUUGUUUUCCUUUACAAAUGUUCUUGUGAUAUAUAUCUCCACCUAUAUAUGUAUGGGUAUGUCGCUGAAUAAUUAAUUUUCAAUGGUUUUGUAUCUGCUUAUUUCCUCUACGUUGUAAAGUUAAUUAAUGAUAUCUUUUGCACAAAUAAAAAUUAAUUACUGUUACUGAUCUAAAACAAGUAGUGUAUUGCUUAUUAAAUUUACUGGGCUUCUUUUGAAACUGGAAUAUUUGGAAAAGCUUGUUUGCCAUUGAUUCCAUCUUCUCUGAUUUGUUUUGGUAUCUGCAGAUGGUGGUGAUGGGAAAUCCUACGGGAUGGAUGGGGUGGUGGUAGUUGAUGGAUUUGGUCGUUCGCCUCAACUCUCUUUGCUCCUCGGCGCGUUUUGAACAAGUUUCAGCUGUCUGGUCUAAUGAUCUUUGUAGAAGUCCAUAGUUUUGUAACUUUGAAGUCCAAGUAUGAAUGUUGGAUACGAUCUCCACUAUCCUUUUUCCAAUUAUAUGGAGAUGAAUUCCUUUCAGCACAACUUUGAUACCACCACCACUCGCAUUAGAAACCACUUUCAAGACAUAAGUUUCAAUAACGUCCUCCAAUAAUCAUAAGAUUCUUCUCUGAGUUUGGAAACCCAAAGGCGUACUGUCUUAUUGCCAUUUCUUAAAUGAGCCUCUGCAUCUUCCAAUGAAGCACUCAUAAUCUCCAGCUUGAUCUUUGCUUUGCUGACUUGGCCUUCGAUUCCAGACAAGAAUUUAGCUUCGUAAAGGAUGAACUUUCAAAGACUCUUAGCCAAAAAAAAGUGUAACCUCUGCCAUAUCUUUUUAUUCUUCUUUUUCAAUAAGUGAAUUUAUUUUAACUUUGUUUCAAAUUUUAAGGCCUGAUCAUUGUUUUAAAGCAA